CACGCGUUCUCUCCUCCUCGUCCGCUCGUUUAACGGACGUUGCUUUCUCCCCCAAAUUAUUCAUUACCAAAUACUCCAAUUAUUUUUCUCUUCUCGAUCUUCCUUUAGGGUUUCAAUUUCAUUGCUUUGUUCAGUCAAUUCGGUUUACGCUUGCUGAUUUCGGGAUCCACUUUUCAUUCUCGAUUCCGCAGGUAGAUUUAUUGAGGCUGAUGUUUGAGCACUUCGAGCUUCUUAGUUUUUUUUUCUUCUUCUUAAUUCUAUCAGUUUAGAUUUUCUGACUUGUGUGGAUUUCUUGUACGAUUCUCUAGAUGUUUGAUUUUUAUUUUAUUGCGUG
rnacentral:misc_RNA from 1 species